rnacentral:rRNA from 1 species
AGUGAACGCUGGCGGUAGGCCUAACACAUGCAAGUCGAACGGCAGCACAGGAGAGCUUGCUCUCUGGAUGGCGAGUGGCGGACGGGUGAGGAAUACAUCGGAAUCUACUUUUUCGUGGGGGAUAACGUAGGGAAACUUACGCUAAUACCGCAUACGACCUACGGGGGAAAGCAGGGGACCUUCGGGCCUUGCGCGAUUGAAUGAGCCGAUGUCGGAUUAGCUAGUUGGCGGGGUAAAGGCCCACCAAGGCGACGAUCCGUAGCUGGUCUGAGAGGAUGAUCAGACACACUGGAACUGAGACACGGGCCAGACUCCUACGGGAGGCAGCAGUGGGGAAUAUUGGACAAUGGGCGCAAGCCUGAUCCAGCCAUACCGCGUGGGUGAAGAAGGCCUUCGGGUUGUAAAGCCCUUUUGUUGGGAAAGAAAUCCAUCUGGUUAAUACCCGGGUGGGAUGACGGUACCCAAAGAAUAAGCACCGGCUAACUUCGUGCCAGCAGCCGCGGUAA